rnacentral:rRNA from 1 species
CCUACGGGAGGCUGCAGUGGGGAAUAUUGCACAAUGGGGGAAACCCUGAUGCAGCGACGCCGCGUGAGUGAAGACGUAAUUCGUUAUGUAAAGCUCUAUCAGCAGGGAAGAAAAUGACGGUACCUGAGUAAGAAGCCCCGGCUAACUACGUGCCAGCAGCCGCGGUAACACGUAGGGGGCAAGCGUUAUGCGGAUUUACUGGGUGUAAAGGGAGCGUAGACGGGAGUGCAAGUCCGGAGUGAAAGGCGGGGGCUCAACCCCCGGACUGCCCUGGAAACUGGACGGCUGGAGUGCAGGAGAGGUAAGUGGAAUGCGUGGUGUAGCGGUGAAAUGCGUAGAUAUUAGGAGGAACCCCGAUGGCGAAGGCAGCUUACUGGACUGUAACUGACGUUGAGGCUCGAAGGCGUGGGGAGCAAACAGGAUUAGAUACCCGAGUAGUC